AGUAAGUUGGCAGAAUAGUGCCACAGGUUUAAA
rnacentral:tRNA from 2 species